rnacentral:lncRNA from 10 species
UUAAUAAACUAAUGAUAACUAAUGACAAAAAGUAGAGAGCGUAGCUAAAUCUAUUCAGUCCAUCCUCAAUUCAAACUAUCCCUCGUGCUUCUAGUUGUUCCUUUUGUCAAUCUGUCCUGUUUUCAUUACGUGUUGUUCUUCCUUACAUUUUCUAUUUCUUCUUUGAAAUCGCUUUCAUAACUUCAAACAUACUUAUUUUUUAAUCUUUUAAGAUAAUUUUGUUACCUCAAUAUCUUGAAUUGCUACAGGGGUAUUAUCAACCCAGGGCCAAUUCAUAUGUUACAAGCUUAACUUAGAGUUUCCUGCCCCACGCAAGUAAUUUAAAUUCAGACUUUUUUUUUUUUUUCUUUUCUGAGACCUGGGUAGCAGCACGUCGAUGGGUUGGUUUUGUUUCCUCUUCAUUGAAGGUGGUGAGUUUCAAAGAUAUCAGCUUUAUAUAAAGCUCUCCGUUCCAACCCUACCCCAAACUUCCUCUCCUGUCUUCAUGUGGAUGCUAACUUAAAACUCUUAUUUCUGGGUCAGAUAACUCCCUGCUCUCAGCCCUGAUGACUACACCUUUGACACACACUAUAUUGCUCCAUUGUCAGCCACUCUCCCUCCCACUGCCCUGAAGAUGGAAAUGUACCCAACCUUCAAGCCCCUGUCGGUCCAGCUCGCGAAGUUUCCGGCUGAAGAUUCAUUAUCAGAUGGAUGAGAUGUUCAUCUCCACUUACACAGCCUACGGCUUGUGUGUGGAGAAAGAUGUUGAGCCAACAAAAUGAUCUGCAACACAAAAUUCUACUCUCCUCUUCACUCUUUAUUGCUAAAGCACUUAUUUCACUGGUUUCAAGCUGCUUUAAAAGGAGUGAAUAUGCAGGUGAAACCACCUAGAGAAGCACUGCCCUAACAUGCUUAAGGAUGCUUGAGAAAGCCCUGAGCCUACAAAAAGGCGUAAGACCGUGGCAAGAAUGAAGGAGUCAAGCAAUGUGAAAAGCUCCUGAAGCCCAAGGUUCUCUUCCCCAGUUUUGAGUCAUCUUAAUAUAGAGGACUGGGCUUGAGGACAUUCCGUGAAAUCUUGACUUACUGUGUUCUGUGUCUCAAAGCUCAAUGUGAAGCAGAUCUUACUUGCACUUCUAAAAGGAGGCAUGUUGAUGCAAUGGAAAAAGAUCUGAUGCAGUAAGACUCAGAGCCCUAAGAUUCUCUCUGUCACUAACUGCCACUACAAGCUUUUGUGAGGAUGGAAAGGUCUUUGCAGGGUGCCUGUACACAGAAAGUGUCUCUGAUAGGAAAGAACAUGUUGUUGGAGCUUACCAUUCUAGUGCAGCUUCCCUAACAGCAGCACCAGUGGGACCAUCUGUCCAGAUGCCCGGCCCUGUCCUUCUGAACAUCCUAGAUUCUUUGCACCCUCCAAUCAAUGUCCCAUGAGUUGCUUUCCUGCUAAAGUUAGCCCAAGAUGAUUUCCCUUGCUUGCAACCUAAGAGUCUUGCCUUGGUCAGUUGCUGUAUUUGCUCCCUGUGGCUGCUGUAACAAAUCACCAUCAACUUGGCAGCUAAAAAGCAACAAAACUUUCUUCUCUCACAGUCUGGAGGCCAAAUAUCCAAAAUCAGUUUCACUGGGCCAAAAUUAAGGUGUGGGUUGGGCAGGGCUCCCUCCUGAUGAUCUAGGGGAGAAUGCAUCCCUUGCUUCCUUCAGGUCCCGGGGGCUGCUGCAUCCCUUGGCUUGUGACAACAUCACUCCAAUCUCUGCCUGUGUGGUCACGUCACCUUCUCCUCUCCAGUAUGUGUUGACUCUCCUUCUGUCACUCUUUUAUAAGGCCCUCUGUGAUUACAUUUAGGGAGUACCAGGCUAACUCAGGAUAAUCUCCCCAUCUCAAAAUCCUUAACCUAAUCACACCUGCAAAGACCCAUUUUCCAUAUAAGGUAACAUUUAUGGGACACAGGAGUUAGUACCUGGUAUCUCUGGAGGUCGUUAUUCAGCCUACUAUAGUUGUCAGUUAUGGAGUUUGCUUUUACAGCCUAUAUUUGCUGUGUUUUUUGAUGAUGACGCUUACAAGGCUCACUGUCUCAAUAUGGUGGGACCUGCAGGUACUAAUGGCUAUGACAUCUGGACAGGAGACAAACAACAACAAGAAUAAGUUUGCAGGAACCUGGAGCCACUGGCAUCUGCUUGUUCUUCCUCGCCUUUUGCUGCUUAUGGGUUGUUGCCUUGGCAGAGCCAUGGCUAGAGGUUUAGAGUAACUCGUACACUUUUGACAAGAAAAGGUUUUGACCCUCAUAGGGGAAAAAACCACAGCUCUUGUGUAGUUAUUCCCAUAGCUAAUUUGAAUACAAUACGUCAAGAAACAUGGCCCAAAACCUUUCCUAUCAAAAGCAUUUAGGUUAUUAUUCUUAAAUGGUUUUGAUGAUUGUAUAUUUUACCGUGGAAUCGUAACUAUGCAUUAUUUAGAUACAUAUUUCUGCUAAAUUCCAUUCUCUCUCUCCCUUAAAACUGUGAAUGCAUUUGGUGUUUAAGAACACAUGCGUGCUCCUUAACCACAGGGGCAUACGCUCAAGCCGCCCCAACAAACGCUGCUAUUAUUGAAAUGGGUGCUCCAGAGUUAGAAAGUAGUUUUUAUUUCUUCUAGGUGUUAUGCAGACUUAUGGUAAUCAUACCUUGUACUGUUAACCUUUGUAUGUAAUAGUAGCAUUUGUUCCUAUCUAUUGAAACACUACUAUGUCUGUGUAACAUGCAUUAAAUAAAAAUGGAAUGUUGGUAAUUUUCAGCUCCUUUACUUCCUG